AUAAAGUCUACUAAGGUAGAGUAGAAUUCAUGCUGCUACCGCCGCUAAAUUUGCCGAAACUUUCAAGAAGAUUGAUUGCUUUGAGUUUGGUUUGCAAUCAAGCAUUUUUACGAUGCUAAACAAUUGGGAAUAUUUUCAUUUUGGCAUAGACUCGAAAAAAGGAGAAAAAAAUUAGACAGUUUUAGGUUGCAGGCAAUCUAUCGGUUGUUGUUGCUUUUAUGUUUAUUUUGCUUGAAGUUAAUCAACUUUUCCAGCAAUCACUUGAUGGGAAGGGUAUUGGUUUAUGUGUUGCAUAUUCUCGGCUCAUAUAACUUAUUUUCGACAUACCAUACAUGCGGAUGGAUUAGUUUACCUGCAUCAGAUUCUUGAUUAAACACCUGUGAAACAUGUUACCAGUUGAUCUUACCAGAUCUGAUUGAGCACGGACAUGGUAAAGUGCAGUCCAGGUUUUCCCAAUUAAUAUUCAGAAGUGCAUUGAGGAGUUGUCUUACUUCAUAAGAGAUAAUGUUUCAGAUUUCGCUACUGGGGAUUACUUCCUGAGGCGAAGGCGAAUAAAAGGUUUAAAAGUGUGAGGACCAAGGAGCGGACGU